UGGGGAAUAUUGGACAAUGGGCGCAAGCCUGAUCCAGCCAUGCCGCGUGAGUGAUGAAGGCCCUAGGGUUGUAAAGCUCUUUCACCGGUGAAGAUAAUGACGGUAACCGGAGAAGAAGCCCCGGCUAACUUCGUGCCAGCAGCCGCGGUAAUACGAAGGGGGCUAGCGUUGUUCGGAAUUACUGGGCGUAAAGCGCACGUAGGCGGACAUUUAAGUCAGGGGUGAAAUCCCGGGGCUCAACCCCGGAACUGCCUUUGAUACUGGGUGUCUAGAGUAUGGAAGAGGUGAGUGGAAUUCCGAGUGUAGGGGUGAAAUUCGUAGAUAUUCGGAGGAACACCAGUGGCGAAGGCGGCUCACUGGUCCAUUACUGACGCUGAGGUGCGAAAGCGUGGGGAGCAAACA
rnacentral:rRNA from 1 species